UACUUUGCUUGUAGCAAUACAAGUAAAGUGCAGCGGCAGACGGGUGAGUAACACGUAGAUAACUUACCUCUUAGAGGGGGAUAGCCCGCCGAAAGGCGGGGUAAUACCGCGUAAGAUCAGGGGCUGGCAUCAGUUCCUGAUGAAACAUCCGCAAGGAUGGCUGAGAGAAAGAUCUGCGGCCUAUCAGCUAGUUGGUGAGGUAACGGCUCACCAAGGCAACAACGGGUAUCCGGCCUGAAAGGGUGAUCGGACACACUGACACUGAGACACGGGUCAGACUCCUACGGGAGGCAGCAGUGAGGAAUUUUGGACAAUGGGGGAAACCCUGAUCCAGCGACGCCGCGUGAAGGAUGAAGGUCUUCGGAUUGUAAACUUCUUUUAUCUGGGAUUAAGAAACUUAUAGAAAUAUAGGGAGUGAAUGUACCAGGUGAAUAAGCCACGGCUAACUUCGUGCCAGCAGCCGCGGUAAUACGAAGGUGGCAAGCGUUACUCGGAAUUACUAGGCGUAAAGGGCAGGUAGGUGGUUUGAUAAGUCUGUUGUGAAAGCUCCCGGCUUAACUGGGAGAGGUCAACGGAAACUAUCAGGCUUGAGUAUGGGAGAGGGUACUGGAAUUCCCGGUGUAGCGGUGAAAUGCGCAGAGAUCGGGAGGAACACCAAUGGCGAAAGCAGGUACCUGGACCAUUACUGACACUCAACUGCGAAAGCUAGGGGAGCAAACAGGAUUAGAUACCCUGGUAGUCCUAGCCGUAAACGAUGCACAUUAGACGUGAGGGGUAUCGACCCCCUUCGUGUCGACGCAAACGCAUUAAAUGUGCCGCCUGGGGAGUACGGCCGCAAGGUUGAAACUC
rnacentral:rRNA from 1 species